CCCUAAGGGAGGGAAAAAAUUAAAUUUGUAAGCUGAAGAUUCCAGCUGAAGUAGUGGAAGGGAUACUCCUGGAAGCCCUGUUAUGGGAGGAGGAAAUCACAGAAGUGAAUAUCCGCCUUAGCUCUGAUCCAGGAAGAGGCAACAAUUCCUUCUGGCUCCUUUGCGUACCUAGCUUUGAUUUUUCCCUCAGCUUCUAGAUUUCAAAGGUACUGGGCCUUAGCGCAAACAAAACCCCAGGAAACAGCCAGAACUCUAUUGUAAGAGAGGGAUUCGUAUGGAGUGACUGAGAAGUUCAAGAAGAUGGAUGAAAGUUGGAGAAGGGAAGUUCCUUCAAAGCCACACUAAAGACUGUGG
rnacentral:lncRNA from 1 species